rnacentral:piRNA from 1 species
UGAGUGAAAACUACUUAAUCACCACGGAUGC